GCUUAGUUGUGAAUAAGAUUGCUUCAACAACAAUAUCCGCCAGGGAACUACGAGCGAAAAGCUUAAAACCCAAAGGACUUGGCGGUGCUCCAUACCGACUUAGAGGAGCCUGUCCUAUAAUCGAUACUCCACGAUAAACCUCACCACCUUUGGCCCAAUAAGCCUAUAUACCGCCGUCGCAAACUUACUCCAUGAGGAGAAAACAGUAAGUGUAAAAGUUAAACAACUAACACGUCAGGUCAAGGUGUAGCUUAUAAGGUGGUAGAGAUGGGCUACAUUUUUUAAAAUAAAACAAACGGCAAGAAACUAUGAAAUAAGUUUCUAAAGGCGGAUUUAAUAGUAAGAUUAGCAAGAAAGCUAACCUUAAACUCGCACUGGAGCGCG
rnacentral:rRNA from 1 species